CUGAAUUCAGGCCAACAUGGGAUCAGACCAACCUCACAUAAGCAGCUUUAGGCUGAUGUCAGCAGAGCGGUUGGUACAAAUUCCCAGCAGCAGCAGGGUCAGUGCUGAGGGGUGAGGGCUUCCUGAAAGCUGGGACAGAUGCUGGGGGUCCGAUCCAUGAAUUUACAACUGUGAGCAUGACACAGUCCAAUCAGGGGAAGCCUGCUGCCAUAACCCCACAACCCCAGCCUUGCAAAUCAACAGAAAAAUGCUGUUCAUCAGAGAUUCCUAGACACUUCAGCUGAAAGGACUCCCCGAAAGUGUCUAACCCAAGAUGGAAUCCACAGUGCUGCAUCAGACCAAAUCUGGCUUUUUCUAGCUAUGUCUUGAUGUCCUACAAAGACAGAGUCACAGGGACAGUGCUUGGGGACU